GUUUGUAGGAAAGCGGCGUUCGCGCCUCUCUCCCCAAAACCCUCUCUGCAUCCGUUCCUUUCCAUCAGACGAAAUGUCAUCGAAUCGUCGCGGCCCUCCGAAACACCAAAACCAGUACGCUUGGAAACCCAACGCUGGCCACAAGAUAAACGAAACGGAAGUUGGAGGAAGGCUUCGACCAUACUCACAGAUAACCGGUGUAUGCGCCCGCUGCAAAGACCAGAUCGAUUGGAAACGCAGGUACGGUAAAUACAAGUCUCUUGUUGAGCCUGCAAAAUGUCAACGGUGUGGAAAACGGGCAGUUCGACAAGCGUACCAUAGCAUCUGUUCUGCGUGUUCGAAGGCUUUGGGCGUUUGCGCUAAAUGUUCUUGCCAUGUGGAUCGCAUCAUUGGAAGAGAUAUUAUGGAAGUAGAGGCUGAGCAAAAGGUUCUUGAUGAGGCAAUUAGGAGUGCUCGAGAGAGAGAUCGGAGAACGCUACUACGAGCAAUGAACAAGGGUAAAAGCAGCUGUGCAACGAAAACCCCAACAGUUGGAGACCGAAGUAGAGAGGGUGAUUUAUUUCCUGUAGAAUCAGUGGAUGAGUAUGCUGAUCUCAGUAGAGAGGAUGACGACGACGAGGGCAGUGAUGAAGAAGACCAUAUAUGCAACUGACAAGGAGAACAUUAGAGAAAUUCCUGAUACUUGCAUCAUCAACUUCUUAUACAUGGGCUGUGGUGGGCCACCGACAUCACGAGGGGCAGGGCUCUUAAUUGGACAGUCGUGAUCAUCCAAUCUCAAUAACCGUGGGAACAUGCGCAAGACUGAAACCUUUCCUUUCAACAAUGGUUGGGCUAUGUGUAGCAAUGAGUUGCACAUAUAACUCAAAUGUAGCUACAUAUCAUCAGAAAAGAUUAGGAACCUGAAUGGACAAUUCACGGCCUGCGUAAAAUGCGAUGGCACUGUUGAGUUAUGGGUGGCCCACCAAUCCAUGCCCUCUCUUUGAUUAAUGAUUAUCAUUUGAGAAUGCCAACUGAACCCAUGAUUACAUUAUAAUCCUGUAUGGGAACUUUGUUUUGGCCUCAUUUCAAGCAAAGGUGGCAAUGGGUCGGAUCCUUUUGUUAGUAAAACCCAUUUUAGAUUGUAUUUUUUGAAAAAAAAGUUAAUAUAAUUGAC